GACGAACGCUGGCGGCGUGCUUAACACAUGCAAGUCGAACGGAAAGGCCCUGCUUUUGUGGGGUGCUCGAGUGGCGAACGGGUGAGUAACACGUGAGUAACCUGCCCUUGACUUUGGGAUAACUUCAGGAAACUGGGGCUAAUACCGGAUAGGAGCUCCUGCUGCAUGGUGGGGGUUGGAAAGUUUCGGCGGUUGGGGAUGGACUCGCGGCUUAUCAGCUUGUUGGUGGGGUAGUGGCUUACCAAGGCUUUGACGGGUAGCCGGCCUGAGAGGGUGACCGGCCACAUUGGGACUGAGAUACGGCCCAGACUCCGACGGGAGGCAGCAGUGGGGAAUAUUGCACAAUGGGCGGGAGCCUGAUGCAGCAACGCCGCGUGCGGGAUGACGGCCUUCGGGUUGUAAACCGCUUUCGCCUGUGACGAAGCGUGAGUGACGGUAAUGGGUAAAGAAGCACCGGCUAACUACGUG
rnacentral:rRNA from 1 species